rnacentral:lncRNA from 1 species
AGCUCGUUCUCCCGUUUUGCUGCCCUUAAAGAGGUAAAUCUACUCUCACUUUUUAAUUUAUCAUUUUGUUCAUCUCUUUUCUUCAUAGCAAUAGUGGUUUAGUCGUAAGUGUGAAUGAGGCUGGGAAUGUGCGAUGUAGAGGCUUUGAAAGCCAUAGGAUUUGUAUGUGAUACGAGUUGUUAUGCUGCUUGUUUGAAUUAAUGUUCCCCUUUUGCUGUACUGAUUUCAUUGUAGUAGCUCUUUCCACUUGUAUCUGUCAUGCAUGUUGUUACUGAAGACUGUUAUCUGUUUUCAUUAUGAUAGUGAAUAUAUUCUGAGAUAUAGGAC